AUAGAGCGCGGAGGCACCGGACACAGGGGACAGCACUUGUCGGCAGAAUCAUGGCCCCAUGUCACGCUUGUGGUUAGCGGAAUCAUGGCCCCCUGCCCAGGCCCUGACACAGGCACCAGAACCUGUGUACGUGUUGCCUUACACAGCAAAAGGGAUUUUGCAUAUGCAAUGAAGUCAAAGAUCUAAGGGCCUGGAGGUAAGCAGAGAUCAUGCUGGAUUAUCUAGUUGGACCCACUGCAAUCACGAGUCCCUAGAGGUGAAGAGUCCUUCUCCCUGGAGACGGGAGAAGAAAAGAUUCAAAGAACCUUUUCAGUUCCUGUUCUUUGGAAACACUUUGGGAAAUUUUUGAGGCCAGGAGUUCCAAGCUGCAGUGUGUGAUUAUCGUGUCUGUGAAUGGCCACGGCACUCCAGCCUGGGCAACAUAGCAAGACCUCAUCUCUUUAAAAAAGACAGGUCUGAGCAGCUCCUAGGGGCCAAUCCCUAUUCGAGGCAACAGCAGAGGGAAGACAAGAAGAUGGCUACAUGCACCCACCACCUGACUGCAGCAGCUCACAGGCCCCCCAGGGCUGGCAUUGCCUGACCCAGGGAAUGUGGCAAGGGGUGCCACCAAGGCAAACACAGGAGGAAUCUUUAGACGGUGUGCUGGUCCCCACACCAGCCUCUGACUUGAAGUGCCUCCAUUCCCCUAGCAAAUGCAUGAAACAAAAGUUGUGCAGGCCUCACGUCUGAUUGAUUCUCUUCUCUUUGUGGACAUACGUUAGACUUAGAAAUAAACUCGUAUUAAAAGAUAUUUUUAAUGGCUUUUUCUUCCCUUACUUAGAGGCAAAUAAUGAUAAGCUAUACUUCAGUAUGUAUUUUAGGCUUGAAAUCAU
rnacentral:lncRNA from 1 species